rnacentral:lncRNA from 1 species
GUUUGUAUUACGCCGGAUAAGCAAAACAGUUUCAACGUUUGGCUAGACCUGCAGUUAUGCUUAAAAUGAAUAAAAAAAAGCGUCUUUUAAAGACUUUAGAUAAACAAAGUUUAAUUUCUAAUUGAAAGGAAUUAAUGAAGUUAAAACUAAAUAGGUAUUAGAAAGAGACAAUUAAUUAAAUCUUUUGUAAGAAAGACAGGGUUCAACAAUCGUGACGCGAGUUGAUAAUUCAGAUUGUUUCUUAGGUAAACAUUUACCAUGCCAGAUAGUCUAUCACUAGAAUUCAGCAACGAUGGAUUUGCCACGAUACGAAUGAUAAAUGGAGAGAACAGAUUCCAGAUAACGACAAUAGACGAAUGGAAUAUAAACACUGGAUAAAGUUAUAGUAAAUCAAGAUACGAAGGCCGUAUUGAUAACAGGCGAGGGAAAAGUUUUCUCCAAUGGUGUUGACUUACAGUGGGUAGCUCUUCAAAAAGGAGAUGUCCCAAGUGUGUAUGUCAGGAGACUGCAAGGGCUGAUAUCUCGAAUAUUGAUUUUCCCAGUUCCAACGGUGGCAAUUCUUAAUGGUCACGCGUUCGGGGCGGGUGCGUUCCUAGCUCUUGCAUGUGAUUUCCGUGUAAUGAGGCCAGACAAAGGUUGGUUGAAUUGGCCAGAAACAGCCUUAAAUCUCAGAAUUGGUGAAGUACUUCUUAAGCUUGCGAGAGCAAAAAUUCCAGCUGGCAUUGCACAGAGAGAAGCACUAUUGUUUGCCAAGCGUAUGACAGGAGAUUACGCCAAGCGUCUGGGCUUAGUGGAUGAAGUUGUUGAAGAAACAAAGAUGAUGGACACUGCAAGAAAACUUGUGAAUGAUGCCCUGGGUCGUAACGGACUUGGUCGGAAAAUAGUUGCAGACAUGAAAAAAGACAUUUACGGAAUAGAGCUUGAUUUGUCAAAAUUAUAGAUAUAUUUUUACGGUAUAUCGUACAGUGCAAUAGGAUUCACUCAGAUUAGUCGGUUUAUUUUAUUAUUAUUUGUUGGUGUUGUUGUUGUUUUUGCCAUUUUAAAAACUGUUUCGUAGAUGACGAUUCAUACAAAGCAAUCAUCAAGAAGAUGUGCUACCAUCUUGUCCUGUAUGGUAUAUAAUCAUGUAUACGGAGGGAAUUUUUAAAAGUCUUCUUGUCAGAAACUGCUGCUUCAAAUUUCGAAUAAUUUAAAUAGUUUCUUGGCUGAUCCACUUCUAAGACUGUUCAAGUUAUUCUGAUUCAUCAGAAAACAUUUUUACUACCACUUACUCUUUACAAAGCUUUUAACGUAUCAAGGACCAGAACUAAGAUAUUUGGUCUAUAUAUUUAGUUUCAUCCAUUUUCAUAAGAGAACCAAUGUUGUGACCGAUAGCCGUAUUAUUUUUAUAAUUAUUCAAAAAACUUUAAUUGUCCAUGAUUAACAAUAAAUACGCAUUUGACAAGUCAGUCGUAGUUUGAUGUUUUAGGCCUAUGCUUUCCACGUACGCGUGUCAGUAUGAGAUGGUCCUUUAACCAAGUAACUCCAUAUGAACAUACCUCCUCUCCUAUUAUGUAUACAGCUUUUUAAGUUUUGUGUAUAUAAAGCGCUCAGCACGUAUUGAUACUUUUUUUAAAAAAAAAUAAAAAAUGUCCAAUGUGAUUUUGGCAUUUGCUCUACUGAGCUCAAUUACAUUAAAACCCAUUUAAUCCCAGACAGCAAUGACCCCAUGGAGCUUUUUGAUGUAACGGAAAUUACCAACAUGACUUUGACUUACGGCUAUUCGAAAAAUAGUAAGGAUUGUUGUAUUUGCGCCAGCGUUGGCGUCGCUAUUGCAGAUGCAUUAAAGAUUUUAUAUAAACUUCUC